rnacentral:lncRNA from 1 species
UUUGCUUUCUGGCAUCCAGCUGACGGCUCCCGCCAGCCUGGGAGGCUGCGAGUCCCCGCUGGCCCCAGCCUGGCUGUUUGUUCUCCGCCAGGCACCGAGCCGGGGAAAAAAGCAGCAUUUUCCUCCCUGUUUUGAAUUUCUCCACUCUGCCUGACUUUUUGUUCUUUGUGGAGAAGCAGCAGAGCCACCAGAAGCGGGGCUGAAGGGACGGGAAGAGGAGGAGGAGGAGAAGAGCAUCGGAGGAAGGCAGGGGCCCCUCGGCCAUCGUGACAGGGACAGCCAGCCCGGAGGGAGCCUCGUUGGUGGAUAUGUCCUACGUGAGCUGCGCCUUGCGGGUGGCCGCCCCCCGCUGCCUGGCACCCCCAUGGAGAAACCCCCGGCCCCUGAGCAGC